rnacentral:rRNA from 1 species
CCUACGGGCGGCAGCAGUGGGGAAUAUUGCACAAUGGGGGAAACCCUGAUGCAGCGACGCCGCGUGAGUGAAGAAGUAUUUCGGUACGUAAAGCUCUAUCAGCAGGGAAGAAAAUGACGGUACCUGACUAAGAAGCCCCGGCUAACUACGUGCCAGCAGCCGCGGUAAUACGUAGGGGGCAAGCGUUAUCCGGAUUUACUGGGUGUAAAGGGAGCGUAGACGGCAGCGCAAGUCGGGAGUGAAAUCCCAUGGCUUAACCAUGGAACUGCUUUGGAAACUGUGCAGCUAGAGUGCAGGAGAGGUAAGCGGAAUUCCUAGUGUAGCGGUGAAAUGCGUAGAUAUUAGGAGGAACACCAGUGGCGAAGGCGGCUUACUGGACUGUAACUGACGUUGAUGCUCGAAAGCGUGGGGAGCAAACAGGAUUAGAUACCCGAGUAGUC